AGCUCUUUUCUGUGUGUAUUUAUUCACAUGAUGCAAUCAGUUUCCGUGGUCACAGGACAGACCCACCGAAAUCCACGAACAACGCUCAGAGGCGACACGAGGAGGGUUUGCAGCGACAGAGCUCUCGUUCGUUCGUGUCGGCGCCGGCCCGCCGACAACAGCGCCGGCUGAUCGUCAUCGUUCCUGUCACUCAUCAAAAAGACCAACGCCUGCAAAUUCAGUCUGACUGAGAACAGAGACGAAGAUGCUACAACCAUUUCAACAGCUUAAUAAAAUAAAAGUGGCAAUGACAACGACACCUCCCAAGAGGAAAGAAGCUUUUCAACUAUAUUAAAUAUUCACUCUCUGUGAGAAUAGCAAACAAAACACAGACGUGUGUAGCAGUCUGAAAAAUAAUAGACGUUGAGGUAUCUAACUCGACUGCUCAAAAUGAAAUGUUCAUAUUACCUGUAUUUUUUUUUUUUACAUUCAUGUCCAUCUAGGAUGUGUAACACAGUUCCAAUCAGAUCAAAGUGGGUUUUACCCACGUGCCAGAAUUCCCAUGACACAAUAUAGCUCUCAAUAAAUCAUGUGGGGGAGAAAGGCAUAACGAUAAUUACACUUUGUAAUGGUGCAAAACAGUUGCUCAACGGUGAUUAUGAGAGUGCGUGUGCAUGCGUCAUAAUAUCCGGGAUGCACCACGUCCUCUCCAGGCUCUUGGGGAAAGUGUCCAGCGCUCACCACAGGUGCUGAUCGCCAACCAAGGUAAUGAAAAAUGACAUCAAACAUGGGACACACUUAACCGUGAAUGAGUUGUCAUCACGCCGGCUACAAAAAGAAACCAAAAAACACCCAACGGAGGGGCCACAGCGACGUCACGGCGCCCCCCCCCCCCCCUUCCGGCGCC